rfam:Triticum aestivum genome assembly, contig: Triticum_aestivum_CS42_TGACv1_scaffold_061156_1DL
CAAGUACUCCCUCCGUCCCAAAAUAAGUGUCUCAAGAUUAGUACAACUUUGUACUAGAGUUAGUACAAAGCUGAGACACUUAUUUUGGGACGGAGGGAGUAGUUG